GUGUUACAGCCUGUAACACACAUGAUAAACUGGGAACAAUACAGAGAAGAUUAGCAUGGCCCCUGUAUGCAAGGAUGACACGCACAAUUGUGGAGCGUUCUCACUUUUU
ensembl:snRNA U6 U6 spliceosomal RNA